rnacentral:rRNA from 1 species
GAUGAACGCUGGCGGCGUGCCUAAUACAUGCAAGUAGAACGCUGAAGGAGGAGCUUGCUCUUUCCGGAUGAGUUGCGAACGGGUGAGUAACGCGUAGGUAACCUGCCUGGUAGCGGGGGAUAACUAUUGGAAACGAUAGCUAAUACCGCAUAACAGUAGAUAUUGCAUGAUAUUUGCUUGAAAGGGGCAAUUGCUCCACUACCAGAUGGACCUGCGUUGUAUUAGCUAGUUGGUGAGGUAACGGCUCACCAAGGCGACGAUACAUAGCCGACCUGAGAGGGUGGUCGGCCACACUGGGACUGAGACACGGCCCAGACUCCUACGGGAGGCAGCAGUAGGGAAUCUUCGGCAAUGGACGGAAGUCUGACCGAGCAACGCCGCGUGAGUGAAGAAGGUUUUCGGAUCGUAAAGCUCUGUUGUAAGAGAAGAACGAGUGUGAGAGUGGAAAGUUCACACUGUGACGGUAUCUUACCAGAAAGGGACGGCUAACUACGUG